CCCCGAACGACACCAGGUGUAACUUCGCGUCUCUUGAUUAGAAGUUAUCCGAACGACGAGAGACGCUGCGGACACGUACAACACGAUAAACAAGAGGCGAAGUCAACAAACACAAGAAAAUAAAGUUCGAGGGCGGAGCCAAGGACUUCUGUCAACAAACAACAAACAAAAUGUCAGCUGGACAUGGAAUAUGACAAACCCUUCAUCUUCAUGAGAGGAAGGAGAGACGACUUUGUCUUCUAAUUGAUACUUGGUGCCAUGAAAUCCAGGAACCAUCACAGAGG